UGUAAGUGUAUACCAAAGUUGUUGCAGUUAAAACGCUCGUAGUCGGAAUUUGGCAGUUCCGGAAGUGUGCACGUCGUGUGCGCACUUUGCGGGGACUGCUUUUGUGGUCUUGCGUAGGAUGAGGCACUUUCAUUAGUGAACGUCCUCACGCAACCACUCUUUACUGUGAGAAAAUCAGAGUGCUCAAAGCAGGCAUUUGCCGUGAAUGUAUUAGCAUGGAAUAAUAGAAUAGGACUCGGUUCUAUUUUGUUGGUUUGUUGGGACUGAGUAAUGAUUAAGAGGGACAGUUGGGGGCAUUUGUAUUCCGGCGCUAGAGGUGAAAUUCUUAGAUUGCCGGAAGACAAACUGCUGCGAAAGCGUCUGCCAAGGAUGUUUUCAUUGA
rnacentral:rRNA from 1 species